ACUGUGUGUUGUUGGGUAGGGGAGCGUUCUGUAAGCCUGUGAAGGUGUGUCGUGAGGCAUGCUGGAGGUAUCAGAAGUGCGAAUGCUGACAUAAGUAACGAUAAAGCGGGUGAAAAGCCCGCUCGCCGGAAGACCAAGGGUUCCUGUCCAACGUUAAUCGGGGCAGGGUGAGUCGACCCCUAAGGCGAGGCCGAAAGGCGUAGUCGAUGGGAAACGGGUUAAUAUUCCCGUACUUGGUGUUACUGCGAAGGGGGGACGGAGAAGGCUAUGUUGGCCGGGCGACGGUUGUCCCGGUUUAAGCGUGUAGGUGUGUGUUCCAGGUAAAUCCGGUUCACUUUAACACUGAGGCGUGACGACGAGGCACUACGGUGCUGAAGCAACAAAUGCCCUGCUUCCAGGAAAAGCCUCUAAGCAUCAGGUAACAUCAAAUCGUACCCCAAACCGACACAGGUGGUCAGGUAGAGAAUACCAAGGCGCUUGAGAGAACUCGGGUGAAGGAACUAGGCAAAAUGGUGCCGUAACUUCGGGAGAAGGCACGCUGACACGUAGGUGAAGUGAUUUACUCAUGGAGCUGAAGUCAGUCGAAGAUACCAGCUGGCUGCAACUGUUUAUUAAAAACACAGCACUGUGCAAACACGAAAGUGGACGUAUACGGUGUGACGCCUGCCCGGUGCCGGAAGGUUAAUUGAUGGGGUCAGCGCAAGCGAAGCUCCUGAUCGAAGCCCCGGUAAACGGCGGCCGUAACUAUAACGGUCCUAAGGUAGCGAAAUUCCUUGUCGGGUAAGUUCCGACCUGCACGAAUGGCGUAAUGAUGGCCAGGCUGUCUCCACCCGAGACUCAGUGAAAUUGAACUCGCUGUGAAGAUGCAGUGUACCCGCGGCAAGACGGAAAGACCCCGUGAACCUUUACUAUAGCUUGACACUGAACAUUGAGCCUUGAUGUGUAGGAUAGGUGGGAGGCUUUGAAGUGUGGACGCCAGUCUGCAUGGAGCCGACCUUGAAAUACCACCCUUUAAUGUUUGAUGUUCUAACGUGGACCCGUGAUCCGGGUUGCGGACAGUGUCUGGUGGGUAGUUUGACUGGGGCGGUCUCCUCCUAAAGAGUAACGGAGGAGCACGAAGGUUGGCUAAUCCUGGUCGGACAUCAGGAGGUUAGUGCAAUGGCAUAAGCCAGCUUGACUGCGAGCGUGACGGCGCGAGCAGGUGCGAAAGCAGGUCAUAGUGAUCCGGUGGUUCUGAAUGGAAGGGCCAUCGCUCAACGGAUAAAAGGUACUCCGGGGAUAACAGGCUGAUACCGCCCAAGAGUUCAUAUCGACGGCGGUGUUUGGCACCUCGAUGUCGGCUCAUCACAUCCUGGGGCUGAAGUAGGUCCCAAGGGUAUGGCUGUUCGCCAUUUAAAGUGGUACGCGAGCUGGGUUUAGAACGUCGUGAGACAGUUCGGUCCCUAUCUGCCGUGGGCGCUGGAGAACUGAGGGGGGCUGCUCCUAGUACGAGAGGACCGGAGUGGACGCAUCACUGGUGUUCGGGUUGUCAUGCCAAUGGCACUGCCCGGUAGCUAAAUGCGGAAGAGAUAAGUGCUGAAAGCAUCUAAGCACGAAACUUGCCCCGA
rnacentral:rRNA from 1 species